AGAGUUUGAUCCUGGCUCAGAACGAACGCUGGUAGCGUGGAUUAGGCAUGCAAGUCGAACGGGAUCACUUGGAUAGCAAUAUUCGGGUGUGAGAGUGGCGGAUUGGGGAGGAACACGUGAGCAACCUGCCUUUGAGUGGGGGAAAACCGUUGGAAACGACGGCUAAUACCGCAUGUGGCGUCCGGUGACAUCGCCGGAACGCUAAAGGGGGCCGCAAGGCUCUCGCUCUUAGAGGGGCUCGCGCCCCAUCGGCUCGUUGGCGGGGUAACGGCCCACCAAGGCUUACGGUUAGCUGGUCUGAGAGGAUGACCAGCCCCACUGGGACUGAGAUACUGCCCAGACUCCUACGGGAGGCUGCAGUCGAGGAUCAUUUGCAAUGGGCGAAAGCCUAACAAUGCGACGCUGCGUGGAGGAUGAAGGCCUUCGGGUUGUAAACUCCUGUCAUAGUGGAACAGGCGAGGGUACCCAAUACGUACCUUAGUUGAGUGUACAUUAGGAGGAAGCGACGGCUAACUCUGUGCCAGCAGCCGCGGUAAUACAGAGGUCGCCAAGCGUUGUUCGGAUUUACUGGGCGUAAAGGGCGCGUAGGCGGCAAGGCGUGUCGGAUGUGAAAUCUCCGGGCUCAACCCGGAAAGUGCGUCCGAAACUACCUUGCUUGAGUCCGGGAGAGGGAAUCGGAAUACAGGGUGUAGCGGUGAAAUGCGUUGAUAUCCUGUAGAACACCGGAGGCGAAGGCGGAUUCCUGGAACGGUACUGACGCUGAGGCGCGAAAGUCGGGGGAGCAAACAGGAUUAGAUACCCUGGUAGUCCCGACCUUAAACGGUGUACAC
rnacentral:rRNA from 1 species